UACGAAGGGGGCUAGCGUUGUUCGGAAUCACUGGGCGUAAAGGGUGCGUAGGCUGCGCCGUAAGUCAGAUGUGAAAGCUCAGGGCUCAACCCUGAAAUUGCAUCCGAUACUGCGGUGCUAGAGAAAUGAAGGGGAGUCUAGAAUUUUCGGUGUAGCAGUGAAAUGCGUAGAUAUCGAAAGGAAUACCAAAGGCGAAGGCAGGACUCUGGGCAUUUUCUGACGCUCAUGCACGAAAGCUAGGGUAGCGAACGGG
rnacentral:rRNA from 1 species